AUUGACAAAUAGCAACUACGUACCUUCACACGCUAGCGAUAAUGGAACUGCUAUAACCAGUCCACUCAUCAAAGUAUCUUGACCAAAGCAUUACACCUCCAUACUUUGAUGUAUCCUGAAUCAGAGGUAGGAUUUGAGACGUCAACACAUUGGCCGGAAUAAAACCGCUUCCAGCUGCGUCCUUAGCCGCCGGCAACCCCAAAAAUAUCUUCCAAGCUGGAAUAGUAGUUGUCCAAUGUUUCCAUGAACUCACAAGGUUAUUCAUUCUAUGUUUAUUAUAAUCACAUGCUUGAUUAUUAUAGAACUGAACCCAAACAAAGUCAAAAAGUCCUGUUUCAAGGGCUCUUCCUAAGAAUCUAUCAGGAAAUGGACAUUGAGGAGCAGCACUUAGAUAAACCCCGUUAUAAUCCUUGAGAAAUCGUGCAAGGUGUUGCCAAUUUUUUGUGGAACCAAUUUCAAUGUCAAAAUCUAUGCCAUCUAACACAGCAUCACCAAAUGGUCUUGAAUAUGACGUGCCACCCAAGAAAGUGUUCCAUAAAUAUCUUGAGAAGCUUCUAGCAUCCUCAAUUGAAGACAAAGAGUAUCUUCCGAGUCCACCGCCGAUAGAAAGAAACAUUGUGAUACCUCUGCUCUGGCAAUACUUGAUGCUGUGACUUAAUUUGGUGCAUGAAUUAGUUGAAGGGUUGCAGUGACCUGCUAAGUUCAACGUAGGGGUUCGACCUUUGCCGAAUCUGGAGAGGAAGGCAAUGUUUAUGUGGGUGUAUCUCCCAGUGGCACAUGUUUCAUACAGUGAGCCUUCUUCACCAUUUUGGCCCCAGUAGAUGGCUAUGCCACCAGCAUAGGAGGUUCUAACAAGAGUGAGGAAAAGAAAAAGUGACAAGGUAUGAGAAUUCUUUGCCAUCUUUGUGAAUGUCUGGGGUUGUUGUGACUUGUGAAUGAUUACUCUUUGCACUUGUGAUAUUUAUACUGUGAAUGGGUUGUAUUCACACCUUGACGUAAUCUAAUAAUAUUUUACACUAGCUUCCAAUUAUAUCUAAAUAAAUAUACAUGUUCAUAUGUUUUGCCAAGUAAUAAUAUAAUAGUGAUACUAUAAUGACCUAUGGUUAUACUUAGGUGUAAAAUAUUUAGUUUUUAUGUAUGAUGAUGAUUAUAA
rnacentral:lncRNA from 1 species